rnacentral:rRNA from 2 species
UGGGGAAUAUUGCACAAUGGGGGAAACCCUGAUGCAGCGACGCCGCGUGGAGGAAGAAGGUCUUCGGAUUGUAAACUCCUGUUGUUGAGGAAGAUAAUGACGGUACUCAACAAGGAAGUGACGGCUAACUACGUGCCAGCAGCCGCGGUAAAACGUAGGUCACAAGCGUUGUCCGGAAUUACUGGGUGUAAAGGGAGCGCAGGCGGGCGAUCAAGUUGGAAGUGAAAUCCAUGGGCUCAACCCAUGAACUGCUUUCAAAACUGGUCGUCUUGAGUAGUGCAGAGGUAGGCGGAAUUCCCGGUGUAGCGGUGGAAUGCGUAGAUAUCGGAAGGAACACCAGUGGCGAAGGCGGCCUACUGGGCACCAACUGACGCUGAGGCUCGAAAGUGUGGGUAGCAAACAGGAUUAGAUACCCUGGUAGUCCACACCGUAAACGAUGAUUACUAGGUGUUGGGAGAUUGACCCUCUCAGUGCCGCAGUUAACACAAUAAGUAAUCCACCUGGGGAGUACGACCGCAAGGUUGAAACUCAAAGGAAUUGACGGGGGCCCGCACAAGCAGUGGAGUAUGUGGUUUAAUUCGACGCAACGCGAAGAACCUUACCAAGUCUUGACAUCCUCUGACGAACGUAGAAAUACGUUUUCUCUUCGGAGCAGAGAGACAGGUGGUGCAUGGUUGUCGUCAGCUCGUGUCGUGAGAUGUUGGGUUAAGUCCCGCAACGAGCGCAACCCUUAUGGUCAGUUACUACGCAAGAGGACUCUGGCCAGACUGCCGUUGACAAAACGGAGGAAGGUGGGGAUGACGUCAAAUCAUCAUGCCCUUUAUGACUUGGGCUACACACGUACUACAAUGGCGUUAAACAAAGAGAAGCAAGACCGCGAGGUGGAGCAAAACUCAGAAACAACGUCCCAGUUCGGACUGCAGGCUGCAACUCGCCUGCACGAAGUCGGAAUUGCUAGUAAUCGUGGAUCAGCAUGCCACGGUGAAUACGUUCCC